GUUCACUUCGGCAGCACAUACACUAAAAUUGGAAUGACACAGAGAUUAGCACGGCCCCUGUGCAGCGAUGACCUGCAAGUUCAUGAGGCGUUCCAUAUUUAA